AUUGAACGCUGGCGGCAGGCUUAACACAUGCAAGUCGAGCGGGGUGAUGGUGCUUGCACUAUCACUUAGCGGCGGACGGGUGAGUAAUGCUUAGGAAUCUGCCUAUUAGUGGGGGACAGCAUCUCGAAAGGGAUGCUAAUACCGCAUACGUCCUACGGGAGAAAGCAGGGGAUCACUUGUGACCUUGCGCUAAUAGAUGAGCCUAAGUCGGAUUAGCUAGUUGGUGGGGUAAAGGCCUACCAAGGCGACGAUCUGUAGCGGGUCUGAGAGGAUGACCCGCCACCCUGGGACUGGGAUCCGGCCCAGACUCCUACGGGAGGCAGCAGUGGGGAAUAUUGGACAAUGGGGGGAACCCUGAUCCAGCCAUGCCGCGUGUGUGAAGAAGGCCUUAUGGUUGUAAAGCACUUUAAGCGAGGAGGAGGCUCUUUUGGUUAAUACCCAAGAUGAGUGGACGUUACUCGCAGAAUAAGCACCGGCUAACUCUGUGCCAGCAGCCGCCGUAA
rnacentral:rRNA from 1 species